UGUUGAUUCGUUAACAUACUUCAUUAAGUGGAAUAGAGAAGCCUCCAGAAGAAUGUCGCGAAGCAACUCAACGAUGCAUCGCGCCCUUCCGAAACUCCUGUGACGUUGUUGUUCUUUCAACGAACGCAUCCUACGUAUAUAUCCUUUCGAUCGAGGAUCGAAUUAAAAAAUCUGUUUUAAUCUGUACAAAAAAGAGAUCGGCUGAAGUCCUUGGUAAAAAAAAAAAAAAAAAAAAAAAAAAAAUAUAUAAAAAAAAGAGAGAUAAAAAAAAAAGAAAAGUGAGAUUUUGCUGAUGAUAAAUUUCCGCUUAAUUACGAGUAAUUAGCAAACGAGAGACGGAAACUGGUACGCGAACACCUGCGGACUUCAAAUUAAUCCAACGUUGGACAGACCUUUUUAUAUUGAGAAAACGAUAAUGACGUACCAUAAAAAGACUUGAACGAAGUCGAGGUGGAAGAUGAAACGAAUCUGUGAAACGGAUGCGAUCGUCAACAGGGUAAAAAAGCUCCCAAUUUGCUCGUACGCAACGACCCCGAACGAUCUCUGAUUACGAAUUCGUUGAAGUCUCGAUUACGUUGUAUACUUAAAAGAGCACAAACUCGAAAUUGCUAAGGGAUUUAAAUAUUAAGUGUGAAAAAAGUUGAACAGAUAGCUGCGAACUCGUCGACGUAUUAGUUUUAACCCCUUUUACUUCUCGUCGUUUCGCUAACACGUUCAUCUUCAUUAAUCAAAUGAGCGUUUCGACGUUCGUGCCUUUAAACGUUUCACGUUUAUAAAGAUACAGAAGAUGAUGGAACGUGUAUACAGAAAAUGUAGAGUUUCACCUUCCUGUCCGCUCCACCGGUGGCCAAGAUUCUGUCGACCGGAGACCAUUUUACGGCGUAUACUUCUCCCUCGUGAGCAUUCUGGAAGGGUUAUAAAUACUUGGCGUAUAAAUUUCAAAAAGUUCAUACAUGCAUUUCGCACGAAUAAAUAUUAAACAAACAAAAACGAGAAAUGGGAGCUCUUUUUCGAAACAUAUUUUUUCUGUUCGAUCAAUACAAAUGUGAAAAAUUUAUUAUUAUACAUUUUAUUUUACGAUCUACAUUCCAUUAAUUUCGAACAAACUGAUAUAACUGUUAAAAUUAAUAUGUCCGUUUGAACCGUUAAGAUUUUACGUUGGUAAAAAGUAAAACAAUUGAACAUCUCAUAUAUUAAAGAAAAUAUGGCGGGAUUUCAAAUUCGAUAUGUUCGAAUAUUAUUAAGUAUCGAUAAUUACUUCUAAUUUUUCCAAUUAAAAUAUGAAAAAUAUAGAAAAUAUGCAAAAUAUGCAGAGAUAUAAUUUAUUCAUUUAAUAUUUUUAAAAAAUUUGUAACCGUAAACCCUUCUAAAAAUAUGAUAAUUGUUACACAUAAAUUUUUAUUACAAUUAGCUUUUGAUAUACGUUUGAAAAUGAAGAAAUAAUGAGCGUACUUUUAAUAAAUUCUACAAUAUGUAUCACUUAAUAUAACGACUCAGUAUUCUCUCAUAAAACUUUAUUUACAUUGUAAUCUAUACAAUUUCAAGUAUCAUAUUAAUCUCCAACAAAAAAAAGAUAAGAGAUAAUUUACUAAUAAACACAGUGUAGAAAAAUCUAAUCAUAAUUGUUUAAUUAGCAAACUAAAAAGACCUAUAUUGCAUAAGGCAAUUUAAAAUUACUUAUUUUAAAAAUAUAUAUGGACUGAGCACUUUUAAAUUCAAUGUCUGUUAAAAAAGAAAAUAAUAUUGAAGUUAAAUCUAACAUUAUUUUCCAAUAUAUUUAAAUAUAUAUAACUUGAUAUUAAAUUUGUUUCAUUUUUAAAUAGAAAAGCAUUUGUAACAUCAUAUUUAAUAAUACAUAUUACAAUAUACUCUUCUUAAUUCUAGAAUAUGCUUGUGUAUUGAUACUAAAUCUGUUUCAUCUAAAUAGAAAAGCAUUUGUAACAUUAUAUUUAGUAAUACAUAUUACAAUAUACUCUUCUUAAUUCUAGAAUAUGCUUGUGUAUUGAUACUAAAUCUGUUUCAUUUAAAUAGAAAAGCAUUUGUAACAUUAUAUUUAGUAAUACAUAUUACAAUAUACUCUUCUUAAUUCUAGAAUACACUUGUGUAUGUCGCUCCAAUAUGUUACGCUAUAAGAAAUAAACCAGAACAUAAAGCUAAGAAACUAGUAUCUGUAAAAUACAAAAGUAUAUUAUGUUUUUUGGAAUAAUUUAUAAUAAAUUAAAGACAUA